rnacentral:rRNA from 1 species
GAGUUUGAUCGUGGCUCAGAUUGAACGCUGGCGGCAUGCUUUACACAUGCAAGUCGAACGGCAGCGCGGGCAACCUGGCGGCGAGUGGCGAACGGGUGAGUAAUAUAUCGGAACGUACCCAAGAGUGGGGGAUAACGUAGCGAAAGUUACGCUAAUACCGCAUACGAUCUAAGGAUGAAAGCAGGGGAUCUUCGGACCUUGUGCUCCUGGAGCGGCCGAUAUCUGAUUAGCUAGUUGGUGAGGUAAAGGCUCACCAAGGCCACGAUCAGUAGCUGGUCUGAGAGGACGACCAGCCGCACUGGAACUGAGACACGGUCCAGACUCCUACGGGAGGCAGCAGUGGGGAAUUUUGGACAAUGGGCGAAAGCCUGAUCCAGCAAUGCCGCGUGAGUGAAGAAGGCCUCGGUUGUAAG